GUGCCCUUAGCUCAGCUGGAUAGAGCGUCUGACUACGAAUCAGAAGGUCGGGAGUUCGAAUCUUCCAGGGCACGCCA
rnacentral:tRNA from 1 species